CGGUCUUCAUUCCACUCAGGAUUUACAUUUUUCCUCACCACACGCAUCUUCAAUUUCUGCUUCACAUAUACAGUUAAGAAAAAAUCAGCAGAAAGUUGAACCUACGUGUAAGUUGAAAUAAUAAUCUAUUAUAUAAACUGAAAGUCAUAUCCAGAAAUUUAGUCCUCGUAUACGGUUGGUCUGCUUCCUUUUGUCAAGAAAUUAAACACCCUCAGUGCUCAAACAGGACUAGAAGUGGUAAUACACUCUAGAAUGGAAUUAAUGACAUCAUGCACAUUGCAUGGGAUUACCAUCAUCACAAAAUGCAAGGACAAUAUCCACAAUGCAAAAGGAACGGCAAGCUUUCACUGUGCAGAGUCCAGGAGCCUGUCAUACAACCACAAAUUACAACAUAGCAUGUAAUGCUAAAGAAAAGGUGAAAGGGGAAAGACUGAUAAAAUUCUAAAGUACAGAGAAUAGUAUACCACUGACAGUAGAAAAUCAGUAACAAGACUUAUUUCUAACUUCCAACUCAUUGGUGCACAUAGAAAUUAGAAAUCCAGAAUUUUUGAUGAUAUUUUCACCUAAAUAUCACUUCUCGUGACAACCUUCAGACCUUCAAUUUCCUCUCCAAGUUCUUUAGCAGAAUCCUCUGCAGAUUUGCUACAGUAGUUCACCUCAAGUAGUGAGGGGGUAGGAAGUUCCCCAAAAUUUUAUAUAACCUCUGAACAAACUUUUUUUACAAUGAUGUGUGUUACAUAAAGAUUAUAUAACCUGUUAUUAGGCACAAGCACUUUGACAUGUUUAGCUCCUCAAACAUGAGCUAGCCAUAACCCAACAAUCACCUAAUAAAUUUAUGUUUGUAAAAGUCACCGGACCUACUACUUAACAGGGCCAAAUAACUACCCCAAUUCUUAAAGCUUUCUUCCUACCCUGAGGGCUUCAAAGCCAGUCACAGAAUGAUAAUAAGAAAGGAUUUAGAUAUCUGAAACAUGUAAAGUUAAUCAAGGGCCAAAGCAAAUCAAUACAAUUUAUGAGAUUAACAGUCAUUCAAUGCUAAGUAGCAAUCAUUACGCAAGUGUCUUGAUGCUUGGGAGUUGGGACCAUAGAAGGCUAAUGUCCUAUAGAUGAAAAGUUUCCCUCAAUCACUCUAAGUAAACUACUGGCCUAUGGUUACAAAUCCUUGAUGAAUAAAGUCACGAAAGAAAAGUAUACUGGCUAGUAAUCAAGAUGCAUAGAGAAACAUCAGCAAAAUUGCACCAAUUAAAUCCCAGUGCCAUCUACCUUGUACUGAUACAACAGAUGGUGCAUAUAUCCUAUAUCAAAAUGACUAUUUUAUUUUCAACUUGAAGACAACGAAGAUUAACUGGAUAUCAAUAAGACUUUUGCAUUAGCAAAGCCCUCCAGGAGUAUUUAACUAAGGUAUCAGUUGACCAAUACUAGCAAUGCAAAAGCCCCAGAAGAGAACAAACAGAUGAAAAUUUGUGCCGCUUCACCCAAGUUCCCAAACCCAAACCCAGAAUACAUAUGUUUCCACUUUGUAGUCAAAAGGAAAACAAAAUUAUCACCGACAGCAGAAUACACAUCUCAAUACCCAGUAUACAUAUCUAUACUACAAAAGUUUACUUUCUAAAAAGGGCCAAAUUUUUUCAUUCAAAAUCUUCUGAUCAGAAGCUUGAAACACCCUGACAUUAUCCAAAACCGCAUAAAAACAUUUAGGACCUUGUAAGAAACAAAAAGUAGAAUAAAAACAUCAUACCACUAUCAAAAAUUAAAACAUUACUCAGCACAAAGAUCAACACAGAACCCUGUUUAACAAAUUUACAUAAAAAAAAUUCAAUCUUUGCACAAAGUCAAUGAAAAUUGACCACAAACAGAACCCACAAAGAAAAUAUGUUUAUACAUAAAAAAAGGAAAAAAAUCUGCAAUAAAAUAGAUAGAUAGAGAGAGAGAGAGAGAGAGAGUUGGAAUUUACCACUAAAAGUAGGCAAGACAGAGACUUUACAACCGAAGUUGAAAUCUCAGCCAACAAAGCCACCAUUGCAGAGCUCAGAAGGCUUUCCAUUCCAACACUACUAGACCACAAGACCUCCAUCUCCAACCCCAAAGCCCAAAU
rnacentral:lncRNA from 1 species